GAAUUUUGGACAAUGGGGGCAACCCUGAUCCAGCCACGCCGCGUGCGGGAAGAAGGCCUUCGGGUUGUAAACCGCUUUUGGCAGGAACGAAACGGCGCUCGCUACUACCGAGCGCUAAUGACGGUACCUGCAGAAUAAGCGCCGGCUACCUACGUGCUAGCCCGCGCGGUAAUACGUAGGGUGCAAGCGUUAAUCGGAAUUACUGGGCGUAAAGCGUACGCAGGCGGCUGUGCAAGACAGGUGUGAAAUCCCCGGGCUUAACCUGGGAACUGCAUUUGUGACUGCAUAGCUAGAGUCCGUAAGAGGGGGGUGGAAUUCCACGUGUAGCAGUGGAAUGCGUAGAGAUGUGGAGGAACACCGAUGGCGAAGGCAGCCCCCUGGGAUGAGACUGACGCUCAUGUACGAAAGCGUGGGGAGCAAACAGG
rnacentral:rRNA from 1 species